CGGCCUGCCCAGGUUUUCUGUUGUUUGGGCUUGCACUUCUUGGGCAACUCCAGAGCGCGUUCGACAGAAUUCGGACGGUGACUUGUUUAACCUGCUGAGUGUAUCCAGGGUAGGAGAUGAGUUUUGUGGCCACCGGGUUGAUAGCAAAGUAGGUAUUUUUCAAAGGGAAAUGUGUGAUAUCGAAAUAGGUCUGUUACUUGAGGCCGCAGAGUGAAGCCUUUAAUUUUCUGGGCGGGAGGGAAGCAAUUUUUUUUUUUUUUUUAACUUUCCUUUAAUCCUCAUUUCUGAAGCUCUCCCUCAGCCGGUAGUGGGGCAUAGUGCAGCCUGAGAGAUGAGUGUAUGUUUCGCAAGAGAUCGUGUUACACUUGUGACCACGUUGUAGGUCUAGGUUAAGUUAAUUGAUUUUCAGGAGUUUCAGCAAGCUGGUGAGGAAAAAAAGACAACGUGAUUUUUUUAAAAGUAGCCUUCCCGCAAGCUACUGUUGGACCCUUUCCUCCAUGAUUUCUCACUGAAUAAUUUCCUUGCUCUAAACUCACCAGUUUCGUUCCAAGUCUUGUCAUCGGCUUUUGCUAAUUCGUCUUCCUUUUUUUCUCUUGCUAAAUAUUUCAAGAUAUAAUUCAAAUAGUAAUAUUUUUUCCGAAUACUGUAUGCUGCCACACGUAUAUGCAAAGCUAUUUAAGAUAGUCUCUCAUUUGUCUUUUUACAGUAUUUAUCCAUUGUAGACAGUAACUUUUUCUAUCUGUCUACCCAUUAUUACUAGGCUAUGAUUUUCUCUGGAUUUAGGAAUAGGACGAAAUUCGUAUUCAUUUAUAUAUACUGUACAUUUUAACUAUCCUAUUAAGGAUAGAAAUGAUGGCUUCCGUUUACUGAGUUCUUGCCAUGCCCCUAGUACUUGAAACUUAGUACAUUGUAUAUUAAGUCUCUUUAGCCUUAGAAGCGCCAGUAAUUUUAGGAGUGAAGGAAUUGAGUUGAUUUUCUUGCUCAAAGCUGUGUUGCUAUCUAAGUGACAGAACCAGGAUUUGGAGCCAGGACAAUUUAUCCUUAUCCCUAGCUUGUACUUAAGCAUUAUGGUAGUUGUUCACAACCUGGGACAGUGUUGGUGUUGGGGACAUCACAAAGCCUGGAAAAAACUUCGGUUGUCACUACUUGGAGGCAGAUGGAUUUUAGCAUAUGGUGGAUAGAUGCCAGGAAUGCUGCUGAACACCCUAAAGUGCACAGGGCAGCCUCUUACACAAAAGAAUUCAUUCCAUUGGAUUGUUAAUGAUGGUGAGCUCGAUUAACUUUGUGCUUUUGCCUCAAGUAGUUAUCAGUGGAAACAGUGCAUCAUGAAUCUGUGGCAAAAAACCCAACUUUUAAAAAAAUUUGAAGUAAAUCACAGUUAAUGUUGUAAAAUGCAAUUUAAAAUACAUUAUUAGAGCUAGAAAUGGAGAUAAACACCUGUUAUCUCAACAUUCUGGGAGCCUGAAGCAAAAGAAUCAUAAAGACACCCUGUCCCACUAUAUAUAUGCAUAUAUAUAUAUAUUUUUUUUUUCAAACUCUAAACUCUACAGCAUGAACAGUAAACCCUAAUGCAAACAAUGGAUAUGGAUUGGGGGUUAUAUAAUUUAUCAAUGCAGAUCUGUAAGUUGUGACAAUUAUAUUACUUUGGUGUGAUAGAGGAGCUUGGUAGUGCUGUAUAGAUUAUAUAGGAACUCUUCUUUUUUACUGUAAACCUAAAAAUUGAAAUACCUUGAAAUACCAAGUUUAUUUUUUAAAAAGCACUAAUUUUUUAAAAACUACUUUAAGAAUAUUAAUUACUAGAAAAAUAAGACCCAGAGGACAAGGGCAAUUAUUUUGUGGUUAGUCUGACAUAUAUGACAUUACUUGGUCAAUUUGUUAUAUAAAUAUUUAUUACUCUCAAUAUCUAUGUUUAAAAGAAUUUUGCCACAUAAUUUGAGAAUCAGAUUCGGAAUAGGACUGGAUCACAUGUUAAUGAAUAAAGAAUUUCAGGAGUCAUGAUUAAUACAACCAAACUGUGUUACAUGAGAGAGACCAUAGCGCCCCCAGACUUAGGAAGUAGAGUGAUUAGAAAGGAUUUGGGAGGAACAUAGCUCAUUGUACAUCUAGUCUCUAUCCUAUGUUCCAUUCUUAACAUGACAUCUCCUUAUUUGAAGUGGUAGGCAGAGACGGGAGAGAGCAACUCAGGUAGCCGGUACAAUGUGUGUAUGGGAGGCAGAAUUAGUCUUAAGUGUGUUCAAGAAAUCAUAUCUAUCCAGACAGGGAGAUUCAUCUGAGGGGUAGUAAGACAGAAGUAUGGAAAACUGAGGGCUGGAUUGUUAAGGACUCUCAAGUGAUCUGGUAGAGUCUGGAGGCUACAUUAUAUGAUAGUAUUGAAGUGGAUAUUUUAGUCACUUAUUGUGUUUCAAAAGUGGAAUGUGGAAGGACUUGGGAAGCCUCUUUAUUUCUUGCCCAUGUUCUUUUUUAUUUCCAUAUUCUUAUUCUUGUGUCUUAUUUCUUUUUCAUACGAUGUUUUUGGCUUAAGUUCAUACACUAGACUGGCAAGUUGGUUCUGGCUGUCAGCUGAGAGCUCACCUGGGGCUUUUGCCUGGGGUUUUAAUUCCUGUCUAUGUUGGUCUUCCGAAGUGGUGGUGACUAGGUUACCAAAAGGAAGUGUUUUGAAGCCAGAAGUUCUGCCAGUAUCUUCGUGUUUUGGCCGACCUCCAACAACUGCUGUUCCAAUGGACGAGCCCAGUGCUGCUGCCUGCAUGGCCAUGGUGGGCCUAAGAAGCCAAACAAAAACAAUUACAUUUUUCCUGGAAACCAGCAAGGAGUGUUACCCACUGAACUCCCUAUGGUGUCUGCCAUCUUCAGGACAAAGUGCAGCAUUGUACAUUAGCAGAUGUAUAGAUGGUUAGUUUUUGUUUGUUUGUUUGUUUGUUUUUUCAUCUCAUAAGUUCCCUUGAAACUCCUGAAGAGUUUAGACAAUUCUUAGGUACAUUUAAACAAGAAUGAUAUUCUGAUUUAUCUUCAGGAAUAGUAAGAAUGCCUUCAUUAAAAAAAGUUUAGCACUCCAAAAAUGAUCUCUAAUUUCACUGAUUAAGUAGAUAUUGAGUACCAGCUAUGUCAGCUUUUAAACAGGAUGAAGUAUAGUAUAAAGCAAUAGUCACUACCAUCUCUGCGCAAUCCUCUGAAGAAACGAUUACAAUGAAAGAAAAAGUUCUCAUCAAGCUCAGAAACGCAGAUUUUAGUAGUUACAGCAGAAUCACUGAAGAUACUUGAGUACAUGUCAUUUAAAAGUACCUAAAAACUUUUAAUAGAAAAGAAUAGAAAAAUGUGAUAUAAAUCUGUUGAAAUCCCGAAGACAAUGCAUGAGGAAUGUGCAUAUCUCAUUGCCCCUUGUAUCAGGUGAUACCUAGCUGUGCAAACACUGAGUGAUUCCAGGGAAGCAAACAAUUAAAAAGUGAGCGCUCCAGUGAGCACCUGCUUGGCAGGCAUGAGGUCAUGAGUUCGAGCCCUGGUACCAAAAAAAAAAAAAAAAAAAAAAAGGGAGAGCUCAUUGGUGUUUCAGUGUCAUAAUCCAAGGAAUCAAGUCUCAUCAAAAUAAAAAUGUAAGAUCAAAAUACGUAUAUUUAAGAAAGUGUAAUCAUGUUAUAGUAGUGAUUUUUCAUUAUGUCUUAAGUAUUCUUUCAUGUCAGUAAAUAAAGAUCAGGACUGUAAGUAGAAUUACCACAGAAUGAUACACCACACAGAUGUACUGUCAUUAUCAUUUUACAGGUUCCUAUUUAGGUUGUUCUUAGUGUUUACUUUUUAAAAAAAUUCUGUAAGGACAUGUUGUAUAUGCUUUUAAACUUGUUAAUAUCUUCCAAAAGCCUAUUUAUAUAUAUGAUCAAUGGAUCGUUUUAUGUACUUUACAAGUACAUAAAACUAGUACAUAAAACAUAGUAGUUUUCCUAACAAGAAAUUGUACAAUUCAUGUCACUAUCUCUGACUAAUGUUCAAUAUUAUUCAUUUAUUCUUUAUAAAUUUGAUAUGUAACGCUCCAAUUUGCAUUUCUUUGAUCACUUGCUGUUAUUUAACGUUAUUAUAUUUUCUUUUCUAAACUUAUUUUUAUAGAAAAACUUUGAGAUCUUUUACAAAUAUUAAAAGGUACUUUUAAUGAAAAUUGUUCUGUUAUCAAAAAGGUUUGGCAAACUCUUAAAAUUAAUACCAUUUUUAUGUAAAGGAGGGUUUCAGUAAUAGCCCUCUGCUCUCCCCCUUUCCUUUCUUUACUGAAACCCUCAAAAAUAAAUCAAGAAGAUGUUGGUAAACCUGCAUGUCCAAAUCCAGGCACAGUAAGGCUCUGCUUUCAAGAGACGGACUUGUUUCACUGCUUUAGUAUUACUAACCUAGGAAUGAUAUUCAAGAAUUCCUAACCAGGAGGCAUCUGUUAGGGUGUUUGUAUGGUAAUCCUACUCUACUACUUAGGAACUGAGCUCAUAGAUUUAUGCUUUAUCAUGUAUGAUUCGCAUUAAAAUAUUUAGUGUUUGGGCCCCAGAGGUUUAUCUCAGUGGCACAAGUGCCUGCCUGGCAAGUGUGAGGUUAUGAGUUUGAUCCCCGAUACAAAAAACAAACAAACAAACAAACAAACAAAAAAACAAGUCUAACAUAAAAUAUUUAGUGUUUGAACUCAGUCAUCUGUUAGAUCUUGAAGAGAGUUUUAUAAAGUGGUUAUUUCUGAGGUUGUCUUCAAAGCUUGCAACAGGUGUUUAAAAAUAGGAAAACAGAUAAAUGGGUGAGCUAUACACCUGAUUAAGGAAGCAGAAUUUCUGUUCAAACUCAUACAAUUAAAUGUGUGUUUUUAAAAAACAUAUUAGUACUGCAUGAAAAUUUUAAUCUAUUAAAAAGUUCUUUUUUUAAACCAUCCAACUUUAGUCCAUUGUAUGAAGCUCUGUGCAAAUGUCACUGAUAUUUUUCCAGGCACACAUUUACUUUUUUUCUUUGUAUUUUAGUUGGCUUUAAAAAUUUAGCAUUCUGGUUCUUUUUUACUCUGUAUUUUUAUAAAACUGUAAUUUUCUCAGAUUUUUAUAAAUUUUUUUUAUAAAUCUGUAAUUUUCUCAGAUGCUUUGCAUAUUUGAUGUGCAUACCAAAUUGUUCCAAUUUUGUUGUCUUAAAUUAACAACCGAGGCCGGGAAUGUUGGCACACGCCUUAAUCUUAGCACCAUGGAGGCUGAGGCAGGAGGAUUGUCAUGAGUUUGAGGCCAGUCUGGGCUACAUAAUGAGUUCAUGCCAGCUACACCACAUAGCAAAACCCCGUCUCAAAAACAAAUAUGUAAAAUAAUAAUUGAUAGCUAUGACAUCACUUUCAUUCUUUUGGGUUUGAUUUCACAGGUUUUUCUCUGGCUAUGUAUUAGACACAUGUACCCUCUUUGAGAAAAAUCUAGCAGCUAGAAGGGAAAAUAGAUCCUUCAGUCUCAUUUUACAGAAGAAGAAACUAACUGAGAAGCAGAGAGCUUGAGUGACAUGCCAGAAGUCACACAACUAAUGAAUACCAUCAGGACAGAUCUUCCUGACUCCCUAGAUCCAACUGCUUUCCACUUUUAGGCUACCUCUUCUUCACAUGGACUGUGCAGAAAUUUCUGUUCAACUCUUUGCUUAUGUCCCCUUGCCAUUUUGGUAGGACCAAGCCAAAUUGCAAACCCACUGCAGUCUGAUUGUGGUUAUUGAACUGCACUGGCAAGAGACAGUAGACUGUGGAAGAGAGAUUUAAAGUAACAGUUAAUUUAAAACAAACAACAACAUAGGAAUGUUAGUUAAGUCACAUGACCCAAUACUGGUUUUUCUCUCAGUUGUGUUUCUUUGUUACCAGUAAAGGUGAUACUUAAACUUUGGCCUGGGAUGAUAAAACCAAACCAAAACAAAACAAAACAAAACAAAACAAACUGCUGUCCCAUCACUGCAUAGCUCAGAGAAUGAGAAAAAAAGCACAGGAUCGGGGAAGAGGAAAUCCCUUGUUUUACUCACGUGGUGGACACUCCCCCAGCUAUGGCCGCAAUGCUUGCGAGACCUCCUAUCACACCAGGGAGGCCGUGCAGGUUGUGCACCCCACAUGUAUCGUGUAUCCUCAGUGUAGUGGCAAAAAAUGGCUGAGAUCAUAAAAAGAGAAAAGGCUAUUAUUUUGUUAGAUAUAAACGACUCUAUAACUGAAAUAAGUGUGCCAAAAGUAUUUUUUAUUGUUUGUAUUUAAAAUGUAUAACAUGAUGUUAUACAAUACAUAUAGAUAGUAAAAAAAAAAGCUACUGUAGUAAAGAAAACAUUCCAUCACCUUCAUAUUUUCCUUUUUUGUUUUUGUGGCAUGAGCAGCUAAAAUGUACUUAUUUAGCAUGAACUUUAUAUACAAUUUUAAACAUAUCUGCUACAUUGUAUCAUCUGACCUACAUCUCCCCAUUUCCUUUUCUACUCAAUAAAUUUUGUCUGUAGCUCAGUUUUCCAUCAAUACUGAAAUUCACUUAAGUCAAAUGACUUAAAUGCAUUGAUGACAAAACUGCCAUUUCAGUCACUAAAUAGCUGAGUCUCAAGAAAUUGAUUUUGGGUUCUACUCCUUACCUGGUGACAUCCCAGAAUCCUUAGUUAUACAAAGCAGACAAAAUGAAAAAAUACUCUGCAAAUUCCCUGGAGCAAAACAGCACAAAUAUGUGACACAGAAUUUGAAGUCAGUUAUAACUGAUAUCAGAGUGACUCCUGCCUCACAGAAAUCAAGAAAGUAUUGACCCAUAAGAGCACUGAAAUGUGAGUGGCUUGUUUCAGAGGAAGGCUAAAGACCUCUAAACAAAGAAAAAAGGCCACAUCCUAUUUUUUGUUUUGGACAUAUGAAAGAUGAUGGUGCAGAUUGAAAGUUCUACUCUGAGCGUCUGUCAUACUUACAGUCAAGAAUUUGUAUCCAAGUACAGAGAUAAGUCCAGCAAUGCUCCCAAUGAUCAUAGCAACAUACGGCUGGAUGUCCAUGUUCGCACAAGUGCCCACAGCAACUCCCCCAGCGAGGGUGGCAUUCUGGAUGUGAACCUGAGUGGAGGAACAAUCACAAGCGAGGUGUGCUGCAUUGGGCAGAGUUCAUUGCCUGGCAGUGUUCAGCUGUAAGAGCUACUGAUACAAGCAAAACAAUAAAAGCAGUAACCGGAAGAAAAUGUGUUUAUGCUGUGUCACAGUUGUCUUAGUCACGUUCUUCUCAGUUGCUGGAACAGUACCCAGCACUCACAACUUAAAGAACUUUAUUUUUGCUCACACUUUUAGUCCAUAGACUACUGUCUCCAAGGUAGGAAGAAGUGGCAGAGGGGCACAGCAAAGGAAAACCACUCGUCCUGUCAGAUUGGUCAGAGCAGAGAUAGACGGGAGGGGAUAAUCCCUUCCUGGUCACACCCACAUUGACUCUCACCAGACCACCCACCUAACAGUACAUACCUACCUGCCCGAUGAUUUAGUCACCUCCCCCCAAACUACCCAUGAGCCCAAAAGGCUCAUAAAGGGGGACGUCUAGAUAUAAAGCAUAACAAAGUUUAAAGCAGAAACAUAAAAGUGACAUAAUCUAUGUAAAAAUGUAAAUUAAAGAUAGUUUUUGUAGUUGCACAAGUCCUUUGUUUCCAAGCAGCUGAUACUUGAUAUCUUUCUCGCCAAGAUCCUUUGGUAGGGGAUGAGUCAUUGGGUAGAAGGAAUCAGUGUGGGGUGGUGUGAAAACUAAAAGAAGCAGUAGUAGAGGAUGGUUUUCAGAGUAGAGACUCUAGCAGUGUUUCUGUGUAUUUAUGUAAUCUCGUACACAUUUGUUAUCCAAAAGAAAACUUGUUUCUGUGUGUACUAUAAAGUUUAUGAUACCCCAGGGUUCAAAGAGAAAAGGUAUCGUAUGAAAUGUACACUUGCAUAUAAAAGUACAUUUGGCUCUAUUGUUAAAGGGAUACAUACAUUAAACCUUUGAUUUUUACAUAUUACAUUUCCUACCAGAGAACACUUUAAGUAGCCAAAAUAAAAAUUUGAUAAAUAAAUAUUGUUUUUAAAACAUU